rnacentral:rRNA from 1 species
UACGGGGGGGAGCAAGCGUUGUUCGGAUUUACUGGGCGUAAAGGGCGCGUAGGCGGCCACCGCAAGUCAAUUGUGAAAUCUCCGGGCUUAACUCGGAAAGGUCAACUGAUACUGCGGGGCUAGAGUGCGGAAGGGGCAACUGGAAUUCUCGGUGUAGCGGUGAAAUGCGUAGAUAUUGGGAAGAACACCUGAGGCGAAGGCGGGUUGCUGGGCCGACACUGACGCUGAGGCGCGAAAGCCAGGGGAGCAAACGGG